rnacentral:lncRNA from 1 species
GUGCUUCAACAAAGUAUUGAGUAAAGGAUCUGAAUACUUAUGUAAAUGUUAUAUUUCAGUUUUAUAUUUGUAUAAAUUUGCAAAAAUGUAUAAAUACCUGUUUUUGCUUUGUCAUUAUGGGGUAUCAUGUGUAGCUUGAUGAGGGAAAAAACGAUUUAAUCUAUUUUAGAAUUAGGCUGUUGCGUAACAAAAUGUGGACGAAGUCAAGGGGUCUGAAUACUUUCCAAAUGCACUGUACACACACACAAAGUGUAUGUCCAACUCAGAGGUCAAUUUAAUUUCUCCCCCAACCCCCUCAAUCUGGUUCAGGAACACACACUGUCCCACAUCCAGUCUUCCCAUGGUUCAGUGUGGAUUCCUGAGAACUUGACCAGUCAUUAGGGGAGUUAUGACAGGCAUGCAAAGAUAGGAAGUGGUAAUUUUGGUGACUCAGCUAAGGCAUGAGCGAUUGUGUUCUGCUAGCUGCUCACUCUGUUUUUGCUCUCUCUGACUCAUCUGGAUAUCUGUAAUCUUCUUGGGUGGGGAUGCUGUUUGAGUGGGUCAUUCAGCUAUGUGUGUGGGCAGGGAACCGGUCUCACUCAUUGUGAUGAAACUGACCCAUUUCAGAUGGAUGGAGUCUGUCUGUUGUUCUUUGUGUUCAGAGGGUCUGGGUUCUUAAGAGGACCAGGAGGGAGUGAGUGAAUGGAGAUGGUGAGAUGGCUUUUCAACAGUCUGAUGGCCUGGAGAUAGAAGCUGUACUGUCUUUGUCUGCUAGAUGGUAGCAGAGUGAACAGACCAUGACUUGGGUGGCUGAGGUCCUUGAUGAUCAUCUUGGCCUUCCUUUGACAUCGAGUGCUGUCCUACAGGGCAGGCAGCAUGCACCCUGGCACCACUCUGCCAGAGCUCUAACCUCCUCCUGUCAGGAAAGGUGGAGGUGAUACAGUGGCUUGCGAAAGUAUUCACCCCCCUUGGCAUUUUUUCUAUUUUGUUGCCUUACAACCUGGAAUUAAAAUAUAUUUUUUGGGGGGUGUAUCAUUUGAUUUACACAACAUGCCUACCACUUUAAAGAUGCUAAAUAUUUUUUAUUGUGAAACAAACAAGAAAUAAGGCAAAAAAAAUCCAAACUUGAGCGUGCAUAACUAUUCACCCCCCCACCCAAAGUCAAUACUUUGUAGAGACACCUUUGGCAGCAAUUACAGCUGCAAGUCUCUUGGGGUAUGUCUCUAUAAGCUUGGCACAUCUAGCCACUGGGAUUUUUGCCCAUUCUUCAAGGCAAAACUGCUCCAGCUCCUUCAAGUUGGAUGGGUUCCGCUGGUGUACAGCAAUAUUUACGUCAUACCACAGAUUCUCAAUUGGAUUGAGGUCUGGGCUUUUACUAGGCCAUUCCAAGACAUUUAAAUAUUUCCCCUUAAACCAUUCGAGUGUUGCUUUAGCAGUAUGCUUAGGGUCAUUGUCCUGCUGGAAGGUGAACCUCCGUCCCAGUCUCAAAUCUCUGGAAGACUGAAACAGGUUUCCCCUCAAGAAUGUCCCUGUAUUUAGCGCCAUCCAUCAUUCCUGACCAGUUUCCCAGUCCCUGCCGAUGGAAAAACAUCCCCACAGCAUGAUGCUGCCACCACCAUGCUUCACUGUGGGGAUGGUAUUCUCGGGGUGAUGAUAGGUGUUGGGUUUGCGCCAGAAAUAGCAUUUUCCUUGAUGGCCAAAAAGCUUAAUUUUAGUCUCAUCUGACCAGAGUACCUUCUUCCAUGUGUUUGGAGAGUCUCCCACAUGCCUUUUGGCGAAGACCAAACGUGUUUGCUUAUUUUUUUUAAGCAAUGGCUUUUUUCAGGCCACUCUUCUGUAAAACAUAGCUAUGUGGAGUGUACGGCUUGAAGUGGUCCUAUGGACAGAUACUCCAAUCUCCGCUGUGGAGCUUUGUAGCUCCUUCAGGGUUAUCUUUGGUCUCUUUGUUGCCUCUAGGAUUAAUGCCCUCCUUGCCUGGUCUGUGAGUUUUGAUGGGCGGCCCUCUCUUGGCAGGUUUGUUGCGGUGCUAUAUUCUUUCCAUUUUUUAAUAAUGGAUUUAAUGGUGCUCCGUGGGAUGUUCAAAGUUUCUGAUAUUUUUUUAUAACCCAACCCUGAUGCUCCUUGGUCUUCAUGGUGCAGCUUGUUUGGUGGUGCCCGUUGCUUAGUGGUGUUGCAGACUCUGGGGCCUUUCAGAACAGGUGUAUAUAUACUGAGAUCAUGUGGCACUUAGAUUGCACACAGGUGGACUUUAUUUAACUAAUUAUGUGACUUCUGAAAGUAAUUGGUUGCACCAGAUCUUAUUUAGGGGCUUCAUAGCAAAGGGGGUGAAUACAUAUGCACACACCACUUUAAAAAACAUAUUUUUUUAUUGAAACAAGUUAUUUUUUCAGUUUCACUUCACCAAUUUAAACUAUUUUGUGUAUGUCCAUUACAUUAAAUUACAGGUUGUAAUGCAACAAAAUAGGAAAAAUGCCAAGGUGGAUGAAUACUUUUGCAAGGCACUGUAUGGGCCUUGACUAGCCUCUAAAAGCACUUCAUGAUGACAGAGUGUCUGUUUACAACGUGUGUUGGAGAAAAGAAGAGGAGAAGAUCGGAGAGAAGUAUAGUGGCGGAACGGUCACUCUCUCCUGCAGGGCAUGUAGGAUUGAGAUGGAUGAGACAGAGGUGAGAUGAACUACCCUGUUUGAAAUGAUCUUGUGAGGACACUGAGACAGAAGCAAGACUUCUUAGUUAGAUCCCACCGGCUCAGCCUGUCUCAUACUGUACCUUGGCAGGUGGGAAUGCAAUCAUUUCGUUUGAACUAUAGUAUGUAUUACUGUGUGUACAUUUCACUUUUCAGGCAUUAUAAAAAAGAUCAUAUCUGGGUAUCACAAGGAUAUGAUAUCAUUAAUUGACAAGUGCAUUUUGGUUUAGAAAAAUAUUUGAUUGAAAGGAUCCACCCAGAGGACCUCAAAGCAUUGAAAUCAAAUACUUAAAUUCUAUAUUUUUUAAACACUUUUUUUUAAUGUAUUCCCUGGUUUAGUGUACUAUUGCCUUUAUCCUAUAUGUAAUAUGAUGGACUGUAUAUAUCCCUUCCAUACACAGACCAAAAUACCAAAUAUGUACCAUGCCAGCUUUUUCAUAGAUCUGAAAGGGUGUAAAAAACAUGGUCAAUUAAAAUCCACCUAAAGACCUAGUCAUGGGGCGGCAGGUAGCCUAGUGGUUAGAGCGUUGGGCCAGGAACCGAAAGGUUGCUAGAUCGAAUCCCCGAGCUGACAAGGUAAAAAUCUGUCGUUCUGCCACUGAACAAGGCAGUUAACCCACUGUUCCUAGGCCGUCAUUGUAAAUAGGAAUUUGUUCUUAACUGACUUGCUUAGUUAAAUAAGACAGACCCUGUAACCGAAAUACAGGUAUUGGGUAUGUGUGAAUGGUUCCCUGCUUUUUUGUAAGUCAAUUCAUCAACACUUCUAUUGUUUAACACCUCCCUAAUUUGAAAUGCAAACAGCAGUGGUUUAAAAAAUGUGUAUAAUACAGUGGAGGCUGCUGAGGGGAGGACAGCUCAUAAUAAUGGCUGGAAGGGAGCGAAUGGAAUGGCAUCAAACACAUAGAAACCACGUGUUUGAUGUAUUUGACACCAUUCCACUAAUUCCACUUCUGCUAUUACCACAAGCUUGUCCUCCCCAAUUAAGGUGCCACCAACCUCCUGUGGUAUAAUAGCGGUAUACCUGCAAAUAAGUGAUAAAUAAGGGGCUGUUUGAAAGGGGGUCAUAUAAACAUUGCCUUAUAUUUUUUACAGGUUGGUGUUUUUUUUGUUAUUUCCUGUGUGAUCGUGUCAUGUGGCUCUUCAUAACUUGUCCUUUCCUGACACUCAGGGGACCCUGUCAAUUAGCUGUAUUCUGUUUAUAUUUCCUCCCGUUAGAACACCUGGCAAACAAUUACUCUACUGUUAAAGCAGGAGGGAGUUUUUGGACAAAGCACCUCAUAGCUCCCAAGUGAUGACAUGGAUCUGUUAAAUGGCUCUAAAGCGGUUUUUGUGUUAAAAAAGAGAGCCUCUUUGCAGACUUUUGUCUUUGAAAGGCAUUGCCUGAGGCUCAACUACUACGAGGCUGCCUGUUAAUGACUUGUCAAGAGAGGGAGGGGAACAGCUGGAGACAGGAGAUCAUGCUAAGCUCUGCUGGGUUUUCCUCAUUGAAGUUGUGAUUCCUCGGUUGUUGAGGGCGAUUUGUUGAAAUCCUUGAUGUCUCAAAAUGGUUCUGUACCUUUAACAUAACAACAAUAAAUUCUUUGAAACUAAGAACGUUGUCUGACUUGAGUUUUUUGUUUUAUAUGGACAAAUAUAAAUGUUUUAAAUAAUUGGAAGAAGCAAAAAUUCCCCCUCAAGUGCCAAAAGGGCAAAAACAUUUUUCUCAUGAAUAGUGUCUAAAGGCUAACGUCUUCUGUAGUUGACAGGGAAUCACUCUUGACUUUGAGCUCAGUUCUGAAGUCCUUUGAAAUGAGAAUUAUGAAUUAGAUAGAGUGUUAAAAGUGAAUCUGACAGUGGUAGACAAGAGUAGUUGAGGUCAUGGACAGGGGUUCCCCAGGGGGUGAGAUUGGGUCAUGACCAAGGUUGUGACUGGGUGAGGUAGGGACAGCCACAGCUGGCUCUAGUAUAAUGCGGGGUAAGCAGUUAUCUAUCUAUCCCAGGCUAUAAAUGGGUUAUCUCCAGUACAGCAGAGUAGAGUGUCUUAUCGGGCACCUGGUAAUGCCCGACUCCUAUACAGUUUGUCUAUGAUAUGACGCUGAAGACAGCCUUAUACAAUAGACUCAUCUAUCACCAGGUAUAACUGAUGUUUUAUAGCCCAAGUUAAUUCUUAUUAGGACUGUUUUAUGGCUAAUUUGUGUCAUGGCAUGUUUCAAUGUUUAUGGCCAAAGUCCAGAAUUGAAGCAAAACUGGUUUAUCGGGUAAGGCAAUACAACAUCACGUAGGAUUUUGGGUGUUGUCAUUGGUCAGGCCUCAGAAUAUUAAUCAAUCAGUGAACUUUUAGACAGAACAUACCCUGGACACACCUGGCUCCACAUAACGUCACAGAGGGUAAUGAACAAGCACAAUUGCCCAAUAAAAUACUGUGUGGUUGCCUUAUUCAGUACGUGUUCAUUUUGAUUCAAUUGAGAUGCUUCUAUACAGCUUUUUAAACUAAUGUUUCUCAUGUUUCUUGAAUAUGGUAUUAGAUUAUUAGUGUUGCCGUAUAAUAGGGGAUUCAAGAGAAUUUGCGACUGUAUUUUGUUACUCUCAUUAUACUUCAUGGUCAAGAUGAUGAAGAAAAUGCUAGUUGUCAAGACAAUGUAUCUUUGCAUAACACUGUUUCCUUUUUACAUGAUUACAUCUUUCUGUGAUCCCUCUAACAACUCUGGUGACUCAGCGAAAAUACAGGAAGUUGUGUUACUUCCAUAGUUAUGUACUGUAUGUCUCUGAGAUUUCUGUACAGUUCCCUCCUUGCCCCUCUCCUUGCAAUGGACUCUCACCAAAUGACCAACUUCUAUCAGUUAACUGCUUGCUUAGCUAUGUUCAUUUGCAUCACAUACCUUUUUGUAUAAAUCAAC